rnacentral:tRNA from 2 species
GCUGGCAUAGCUCAGAUGGUAGAGCAGCUGACUUGUAAUCAGCAGGUCCCGGGUUCGACUCCUGGUGCCAGCACCA